rnacentral:tRNA from 1 species
AAGGCUUUAAGUUAAAAAAACUAAUAGCCUUCAAAGCUAUAAAUAAAGGCAAAUAAUUCUUUAAGCCUUA